rnacentral:rRNA from 1 species
AGAGUGUAUGGUGGAUGCCUUGACAUAAGAAGACGAUGAAGGACGUAGCAGCCUGCGAUAAGCUGCGGUCAGGUGGCAAGCAACCUUUGACCCGCAGAUUUCCGAAUGGGGAAACCCGCUCCAUUGAAGAUGGAGAGAGCUUGAUUUAUCAAGCUGGAAGACCCGGUGAACUGAAACAUCUUAGUAACCGGAGGAAAAGAGAACAAUAGUUAUUCCCCUAGUAGUGGCGAGCGAAAAGGGAGGAGCCCAAACCUAAUUAACCGCGAAUUGAACUUGGUUCGCCAAGUUUGAUUCUGAAGGGUCUAUGCCCACAUGUUUUUUAGGGGUUGCAAGGGAGUUGUGUUUGUUUCAUAGAGAGGCAAGAUGAAGUCAAAAAAGAUUAUUCUUAGCUAAAGGAGUUGGAAAGCUCCGCCAGAGAUGGUGAUAGCCCAGUCAGCGAAAGGAAUUUUCUCUUCAUGACAACUUUUCUUAAGUAGGGCGGGACCCGUGAAAUCCCGUUUGAAGCUAGGUCGACUAUGACCUAAGGCUAAAUACUUCUUAUGAUCGAUAGUGAACAAGUACCGUGAGGGAAAGGUGAAAAGCAUCCCGUUUAGGGAGGUGAAAUAGUACCUGAAACCAUAUACUUACAAAGAGUCGGAGCCUCUUUAUGGGGUGACGGCGUGCCUAUUGAAGAAUGAGCCAACGAGUUUAUUCUAUGUGGCUUACAUAAUUUCCGUUUGGAAAGCAUGUGGAGUGAAAGCGAGGGUUAAUAGCCCGUUUGUGUUUCGCUUUUGUUCCUGUUAGUUCUACUAACAGAACGAAAGUGAAACAUUUGUCGCAUGGAUAAGACCCGAAGCCGGGUGAUCUAACCAUGGCCAGGUUGAGCUUUGUCGAAAGACAAAGGGAGGACCGAACCCACUAGUCGUGCAACACUAGGGGAUGAGCUGUGGUUAGCGCAGAAAUUGUAAUCGAACUCGGCAAUAGCUGGUUCUCCUCGAAAUAGCUUUAGGGCUAGCCUCGAACGCUGACCUCAGGGGGUAGAGCACUGGAUGAGGGCGGGUCUUCGGAUACCGUCUUCAAUCAAACUCCGAAUACUUGAGGGUGUAGUUCGGGAGUCAGACUAUGGGGGCUAAGCUCCAUCAGUCGAAAGGGAAACAGCCCAGAUCACAAUCUAAGGUCCCUAAAUCUAAACUAAGUGUGAAAGGUGGUGUUGUGACUACGACAAUUAGGAGGUUGGCUUAGAAGCAGCCAUCCUUUAAAGAUAGCGUAAUAGCUCACUAAUCAAGUUGUUUCGCGCCGAAAAUUUACCGGGGCUAAGUUUAGUACCGAAGAUGUGAAUUCUAAUCUUUUAGAUUAGAGUGGUAGAGGAGCAUUCUCUUCAGCGUUGAAGCCGUGUCGUGAGGCGUGGUGGAGCGGAGAGAAGCGAGAAUGUUGGCAUGAGUAGCAAAAAGGCGGGUGAGAACCCCGCCCACCGAAAACCUAAGGUUUCCUGGGCAACGCAAAUCGACCCAGGGUUAGUCGAUCCUAAGGCGUAACCCGUGUAGUGCGGGUGUAGUCGAUGGAUGAGCUGGUUAAUAUUCCAGCACUACUGUUGUUUUCCGAUGGGAGGACGCGGUUCUGUGGUUUGAGCGCGCUAUGGUAUGUGCGUUAAUUGCUUCAAGAAACGAUCUAGGCAAAUCCGGAUCAUUAGUUUCAAGAAGUCGUUUGAAGAUAAAGUCGCAAGGCGGAGUCAACUUAAGCAAAAGAACCGACUAGAAAAAUCUCUAGGGCUAAGACAACAGUAAUCGUACCGUAAACCGACACAGGUAGGUAAGGCGAGAAGCCUAAGGUGUACGAGAGAACCUUCGUUAAGGAACUAGGCAAAAUAGCGGCCGUAAUUUCGAGAUAAGGCCUGCCCUGAGCAAUCAGGGCCGCAGCUAAAGAGCCCAAGGGACUGUUUAUCAAAAACACAGCUCUCUGCUAACUCGCAAGAGGAUGUAUAGAGGGUGAAGCCUGGCCAGUGUCCGAACGUUAAGAGGAGAGGUUAGCACUUCGGUGCGAAGCUUUGAAUCCAAGCGCGGAUGAACGCCGGCGAUAACUAUAAUCGUCCUAAGGUAGCGAAAUUCCUUGUCGGGUAAGUUCCGACCUGCACGAAUGGCUUAACCACUUGGGCACUGUCUCAACGAAGGACUCGGCGAAAUUGCAUUACGAGUAAAGAUGCUCGUUAAUCAUAGCAGGACGAAAAGACCCCGUGAAGCUUUACUACAGCUUGAUAUUGAAUUAGGGGCAUGCAUGUUCAGUAAUAGGUGGGAGCCUUCGGGCGCCAGUGAGAUACCACCCUUGUAUGUUUUUAAUUCUCACCCUGAGAUUCAGGGGACAGUGUCUGGUGGGUAGUUUGUCUGGGGCGGAUGCCUCCCAAAAAGUAACGGAGGCGUUUACAAAGGUUGGCUAUCCCGGAAUGGAAACCCGGGAGAUAGCGUAAAGGUAUAAGCCAGCUUUACUGCGAGACCUACAAGUCAAGCAGUUGCGAAAGCAGAACUUAGUGAUCCGACCAUUCAAUAUAGGAUGGUGGAAGCUCAUCGGAUAAAAGCUACUCCGGGGAUAACAGGCUAGUCAGGUCCAAGAGUCCACAUCGACGACCUGGUUCGGCACCUCGAUGUCGGCUCGUCGCAUCCUGGGGGUGGAGAAGCUCCCAAGGGUUGGGCUGUUCGCCCAUUAAAGCGGCACGCGAGCUGGGUUCAGACCGUCGUAAGACAGGUCGGUCUCCUAUCCGCUAUGAUCGUGGAAACUUGAAGAGGCCCUUCCUUAGUACGAGAGGACCGGGAAGGACGAAGCUCUAGUGUACCAACUGUCCCACCAGGGGCAUUGCUGGGUAGCUACCUUCGGUUUAGAUAAGCGCUGAAAGCAUAUAAGCGCGAAGCUGUCUCUAAGAUUAGGUUUCAUAGAUUGGUCAGAGAUUAUGACCUUGAUAGGCUCUAAGUGUAAGCACAGUAAUGUGUUCAGCUGAGGAGUACUAAUAAAUCAUUUGAUUUUC